UACAGAGGGUGCAAGCGUUAAUCGGAAUUACUGGGCGUAAAGCGUGCGUAGACGGUUAUGUAAGUCAGGGGUGAAAGCCCCGGGCUCAACCUGGGAAUGCCAUUUGAGACUGCAUAGCUAGGGUACGGAAGAGGGAAGCGGAAUUUCAGGUGUAGCGGUGAAAUGCGUAGAUAUCUGAAGGAACACCAGUGGCGAAAGCGGCUUCCUGGUCCAGUACCGACGUUCAGGCACGAAAGCGUGGGGAGCAAACAGG
rnacentral:rRNA from 1 species